GUUUAGCGCGAGGAAUUAAACCCUGAAACCGACAAAAAAAUAAGUGCCUUUGCUGCAUGUGAACAUGCACACUUCAAAAAGAACAAAGGUUUAGCCCUAAAAAAAGGACCAAAUCACAAUACUCCCAUGUCUGAUUCAUAAGAAAGAAACAAAUUUAACCAGCAAAUAAUACUACACUUUUUAGAUGUCAAAUAAAAACUUAUUCUCAUUCAAUCAAAUUUCAGUUACAAACAGUACCAGUAAUGAGUGAUAUAACAAAAAUGGCUGUCACUUUUUUCACAGAAAUAUUGAAUGGCUUUUAAGAAGUGUAGCCUAUAAAUUAUAGAGGUAAAGGGUUUUUCUAUUUUUAUUUUUUCUAUCUUUUCAAAUAUAAUGCCAGAAUAAUUUAAUAAGAAAGUCAGGUCAUAAGUGAACUUCUGAGUUAUGGCUCCCAACAGUCCUUCAAUCAAGUCUUCAACAGGCAAAUCUAUGUCAACGACCUAAAACGCUUCAAAUUUCAACGACUACUCGUUGAAUAUUGAUUGUUUCCUUUCUUUUUAGACUUUAUUUGGUUUGUUCUUUUGAUCAUCUUUCUAAAAGAUAAUAUCAUAAAGAAAGGAAUAGAGACUACUUCAAGAACUCAUCCAGUCAACUGCCAUAAACAGUUCCUUCCAAAAGGUGAUCAAGUCAAGUCUAAGGAUAAGCAAACAUAAAAAAUAUCAUGUUUGAGAAAAAAAAAUUUGUCAGUUGUAAAAAUUUAAUUCAAAUCCCAGAAAAGGAAUUCAUUCGUUAACUCAAUAUAUAAGAAAUCUAAAUUGCUCAAUUCACUUAAGAAAACCUAAAUUUCAGUAAAAUUUCCAAAACUAACAUCAAAAAACUUUUUUUUUUUCUAUUUUGAGAAAUAAAAAAUGUUUAUGUAUCUCAAAAAAAUGAAAUCCAUUCGCAAACCCAUCAACACCCCAGCAAGAGUUUCAUAAAAGAGGACACAAAGAGGUUAACCUCAAGGCCUUCACUGUUCA
rnacentral:misc_RNA from 1 species